rnacentral:rRNA from 1 species
GCCGCAGCCUCCUGUGCUAAGGUAGCAUAAUAACUUGCCCUUUAAUUCAAGGAUAGAAUGAAAGGAUAAACGAUUCAUUACCUUUUCCUUUCACAAAAUAUAAAAUUUACCUAAAAGUAAAAAGUCUUUUAAUAAUAGAAGGACGACAAGACCCUAUAGAACUUUACACUAUGUUAAGAUGGGGCGGCCCACAAUUAAAUCUUACAUUCAAAUCAAGAUACAGAUCUGACUACAGUCAACCAAAAAAACAAGUUACCUUAGGGAUAACAGCACAAUUUUAUUUUAGAACAUUUAUCAAAAAUAAAGUUUAUGACCUCGAUGUUGACUUAAUUUAACUAUAGUUAAGCAAAGUUAACAAGAGUAGGUCUGUUCGACCUUUUAAAAAUUACAUGAUUUGAGUUCAGACCGGCGCAAGCCAGGUCAGAUUCUAUCCUCUUCCAUAUUAUUAUAGUACGAAAGGACUUAAUGAAGAAU